rnacentral:rRNA from 1 species
GACGAACGCUGGCGGCGUGCCUAAUACAUGCAAGUCGAGCGAGCGGAACUAACAGAUUUACUUCGGUAAUGACGUUAGGAAAGCGAGCGGCGGAUGGGUGAGUAACACGUGGGGAACCGGCCCCAUAGUCGGGGAUACAACUGGGAAACAGGUGCAAAUACCGGUAAAGAAAGCAGAUCGCAUGAUCAGCUUUUAAAAGCCGGCGAAACCGGUCCCGAUGGGAGGGCCCCGGGGUGCAUUAGCAAGUUGGUAAGGUAAAGGCUUACCAAGGCGGGGAUGCAUAGGCGAGUCGAGAGACUGAUCCGCCACAUUGGGACUUAGACCCCGCCCAAACUCCCACGGGAGGCAGCAGUAGGGAAUCUUCCACAAUGGACGCAAGUCUGAUGGAGCAACGCCGCGUGAGUGAAGAAGGUUUUCGGAUCGUAAAGCUCUGUUGUUGGUGAAGAAGGAUAGAGGUAGUAACUGGCCUUUAUUUGACGGUAAUCAACCAGAAAGUCACGGCUAACUACGU